rnacentral:lncRNA from 1 species
AUGUAUGCAUUCUGUAUGCUAGGCAGCUUGCAGGGAAACAUGGACGUGCAAAGUCAACUGGCUGCAUCGCAGGGAAGGCCUUUCCACUCCUCUUCAUCCAGCUGUUUGGAGAGAAGUGGCUGCGCUCUGAAAGGGAGGAUGGAGCAGCUCACCAGGCACCCAGGUAAGGCCCAAGAAAUAAUAAUCUUUUGCAGUAUCCCUAAUGAUUCCUCUCCUAGCAAGCACCAGAUAGUCUUACUGAAGAGAUCUCGUUACCGAAUGUUUGCUUAUGAUGGCAUCUUUAUGCUCAUUGCUGUGUGUCUGAGUGCUGAGAGUCGCAGAGCUCCCAAAGAAAGCUGCAGGCUUGCUGUGAGAGCUCACGGCUGUGCAAUAUCCAGGCAAGCUAGAAAAAAAUCAGCCUGACCUUCAGACCAAAGCUGUUGAACUUUGUGCUUUGCAAAAGACAACAACUGAUGCGACCAAAUAACAGGUUCUGGAAGGCUUUGGGAAAAAAAUUGACUGCUACCUGUCUCUCCUGCUAAUAAUUGCCUUGCAAAUGUCAGCAGGGCACUGAAAUUACACCAUGCUGGUAAUGCUGUGGGUAGGAGCUGCUACCAAGGAAGAAGAGCCUAUAAAAGCAAUCUGCUGUUUGGAACAGUUUCCAAGGCCGGCAAUAUUUGCCCUCAGAUUUAGAAAUCUUUUUGAACAAGCUGCUGUUUCCCAUAAUGAAUUGGAAAUGUUCUGAAGAUUGAUACACACAAUUUUGUUGUGACUCCCCAUUGGAAAAAAUCCCUGAAGGAACUUGCACGUGGGAAAUCUAGUGCUUUUAUAGAUAUUUUUAAGCAUCAUGAUGGUUUGAGUUUCUAAAGUAUUAGAGUGAAGGGAAAUAAUUUUUAGGAGGUUCCAGCAAUUGGGUUCCUUUAAAUGCACUUUUUUAAACCUGUACAGAGGAGAAGGGGGUUGAUAAGGCCAUAGGUUGGUCAAGCUGGAAUCUUGCCUUUAAUUUAGAAAAAGAAAUGACCUGUCUGAUAUUAUUGCCCACACACAAGCAUUGGAAUGCCUUCCACAUAGCAGUAAUAGCAAUGAAGACUUUGUGGAGUUUGGGCUUGUUAGAGGAGAGGUUUUAAUCUCGCUCCCCAGAAACUGCAGAUUUCCAGGUGUUCCCCAGUGCCCUACAAGAGCAGCAAAUGUUCUUCCUGAUCACCGUAGGGUUCUGCUCAUCACUGGAAAGAUGAGAUUUGAUUACUGUAGCAAGUGUAAUUAACAAAUAAGAAUAACCCAACCAUUUCUUUAAACCUCCAGCCACUGUAACUCCCUGCAGGUAGAAAAGUUAAAAUAGAAAUACAGAGAGGACAAAUGCAAAAUGAGGAAAGCCACAAACACAGUGCUUCUGCCACCAAGGUCUGGGGUCACUGGCGGAGUUGCAGAAGCAAAUGUUCUCUCAUUUGCUUCUAGUGCAGUUAUUUUGCUGGUGCUUAAUGCCCAUUGUUUGCUUUGAUGCCCUGGUGGCUGGCAUUUUAAUAAUAUGUAGGCAGGUUAGAGUAAAUUAGUCUACAGAAGAGAAUUAUGUCAGUCAUUACUGGAGUCAGGGGAUACAUUACACCUUUGUCAUUACUGUGCUAAGACACAUUCUAGUGAGGCAAAAAUAAAACUACAUUUGAGGGAGGCA